AUUUGUGUAUUUCGAGAUCAUGAGAAAUGUGAAACGAAGCUUUGUUGUUGAUCUAAAUCAAUGUGUUCGUGAAGUAAAGGAUUGCAGUCAACAUACUGCGUAAGAGCGAAGGUCGUUUGGGGGGUGAUAACAAUGCGGACUUUUCGUCGACUCAGAUGUCUUUAUGUUCCAGCACGAAAGGUUACUAAAUUUUUGGCAAAUUCGGAUCGGACCAUCGGUAUGACGCAGCGAAGCAUAUUGUUCCAUGCCGGCGAUUUGCAAUAUUCCAUUCAGGCUAGGCAUGCUGCCCUGGCUGGGACUAUUCAAAGGUUGUUUUAGAUCCAGAGCGCUUUUCUGAUUUUGUCCUGAAAAAGUGAUAUUGGAAUAAGGGUGAACGAAAUUUGCUUAAACGGAUGGACAAAAAUAUAAUAAAAUAAAA